rnacentral:lncRNA from 1 species
GAGUAGCAAAAUCCCUUUGCCAAACACGGGAGAAAAAGUAAAAAAUUUGUAUGUGCAUCGUUCAACCCAUCUUCCAAAUUUACAUUUCGAUCUUGAAUUGAGGAUCACGUGAAAUGACUCGUGUUAUUCAGGUGGACAUCUUUCAAUUCACGAGGAUCAAUUAGCAGGAGAAAAUAAAAUCAUGGCCGUCUUGGUUAGAGAUUAUUAAUGCAGAAUUUUUGUACCGGAACUGAUGGCGAUGGGGAUUCAUAAAAACUAGUGGUCUCGCUCUGUAAAAGUUACCGCAAUCUGGUUCAUCCGUGCAGUUACUUUUUGCUGUCUCUUUCAAAUGGUUCUCCGUAACUCUUAACUUUUCCCCAAUCUAUUACUGUUUCAGGUAGUUGACAGAUUUAUUUUAUUGAUUUCCGUCUUUUUUUAGUUCAUUAUCUGUUGGGUUUGCAGUGAUUUGUGAACGUAUUUCGCGAAUUUAUGCUAUUUUGAGUUGACCGUUUGUUUAAUUAAGUAUUGGGCUUUGCAGUGAAUUGUGAACGGAUUUAUUAAGCUUAUGCUAAUUUGAGUUAACGGUUUGUUUGAUUAUUUGGUUGUUACGGUUUGGGUAUAUAAAUAUUUUCUUUUUAAGAGGCUGAUUAAAUGACUUCAAAAAGUUUAGCGAGUGCUUGGUGCCCAUAAAAAAAUGAAAAAAAUUACAGGGUUAAGUGAUCUGAGUCAAGCUGAAACAAGCUUUACUCCAUCACUAAUUAAAAACUCAAGCUAAGUCGAGCUUUACAGUCGCGUCUUUCAGUUGGUUUAUCUUUCAAUGAGAGUUUGCUUAUUUGCAGUCCGAGUUGAACUAUUACUUCUGGAGUUAAAAAAAAUUUAAUUAUCUUUGGAUCACUUUUCUGAAUUAGUUUUUCUCGUAUCAGUGAGUAUAAUCUAACAAACAUAACCUUUCCACGUCGAGACAAGCAUAAGUAGCUCCUGUAGUUCUGUAGUUGGUCUCAGGGGUAAUCCUCAAAAGUUGAUAGACUUGCUGAAGUCCAAGUGAAAGUGGGGAUUUUUAUUUUUUAUGCCGACAUAGAAUAUUAUUGAACCCAUAAUGAUUACCGUAUUUGGCAGUGUGGAAUUGUAGCCUUAGAAUUGUGAUUAGAUGAAUUUCAUAUUUGAAUUGGAUUUAACCAACUUCAAUUCCAACCCGCAAAACUCCAUGCAACUGAAUGUAGACGUGCUGUAGGCAAAGUUUUAUCCCUUCUAAUAACCGGUGAGAGUUAUAAGUAACCAUCAACCAGUCUGACUUGGAAAUAUGGAAGCUCUCAUCUAUUUAUGGAUCAUUCUCGGGCUAGAUUGAAAGGUUGUUUUUUACCUUGUUUCAAUAAUUUAUUUGCCAAAUGCAAAGCUAGGCAGUUCAGGAUUCUUGUUCCAUAGUUACUUCAUUAUAUGUAAAAGGACUCUAAGUGGAUUACAAAUUUCAAAGAGAAUGAGUAAGUAGCAUUUGUGUUUGCAAAAGAGUCGUCCAUUUCAAAUGCUGAGCGGAGGUAAAGACUAUAUGCAAAAAUGGCAACAGAUUUGGAUGAGAAUGUAGCUGUUUUUCUUAAACAAGGAGAAACUUCUUAGUCUUUAUCACUGUCAGAUCUUUUUACUCCGAAGGAUGGAACUGUAACUAUAACGCCCGCUCUCAAGGUAAAUAUUAAAAUUUGAGUAACUUUAGGCAUUUUCAAUGUAAUGUCGGCGUAAUUUUUUGGCUGGAGAAUGAAUGGUUUCCUGUCCUGUGUAGGCUGCAAUUCCUCCAAUGCCAGCAAAUGUCUUGUAUUUGAGGCCAGAGUACUCUGUUCCAAUCUCAUGAGUUUUAUUUCAGGUUCAUGUCUUCAUCAAGUGCCGUGUCUUAUAAAAGAAACAAGACAGCCUUUGUUUGCUUGAAGCAAGGAGAAACUGAUGUCUUUAGUUGGGUUUUCAUAUGUGGAUGUUUGUUUUUUCUCCAUUAGCGUGCCUGUUUUGCAACGGGUGAAGGUGGGUGGUUGCGCAAUGGAAGCUGAAUACAUAAAAGAAUUUAAUCUAGGUUAUCCCUAAUUAAGGUUUUGGAUUUUAAGAUUAUAAUUCGGUUGUUUGAAUAUGUCUGUUGAGUGAACUUGAAUUCGCGGUUUACUAAAAACCUGAAGCCCUUAGGGUGUGUCAAACUCAAUGGUUUUCUGUUUGAAUGCCUCUUCAUUUGAGAGUUCCUUUCGUUAAAUAGGUAGAAUUUUGCUAAUUACAAGGCUUAGAAUCACUUAUUACAUCAUUACAUGGCUGAGAAUCAGCCAUUACAUAAGUCAUGCUAACUAACUAUGGUAUAUACACUAAUCACAGAAUAUCAUGCCACAAUUAUCCUGCUAACACCCCCCUAAAAUUGAUACUGGUCGAUCAAGAAGCAUUAAUUUGCUAACAAGAAAUUGAUGACGUUGUCGGCUCAUGGCCUUUGUAAAAAUAUCAGCUAUCUGAAGGGACGUGGAAAUAUGGGGAAGAGAAAUUACACGGGUGUCCAAGGCCUCUCGAAUAGAAUGACAAUCCACUUCAAUAUGUUUUGUACGCUCAUCGUAAACAGGGUUAGCAGCAAUCUGAAGGGCACUCGUGUUAUCAGCAUGGAGAGGCGUAGGAGUGGAUUGAGGAAAAUCAAGUUUAGCCAAAAGGCCACGAAGCCAAAUAAUCUCGAAACAGGCAAGAGUCAUCGCCCGAUAUUCAGAUUCGGUAGAUGACUUAGAAACCGGAUCUUGUUUCUUGCUUUUCCAAGAGAUUAGAGGAUCACCAAGAAACAUACACCAACCCGUAACAGAUCGUCUAGUGUCAGAACAGUCGGCCCAAUCGGCAUCACUAAAAGUGAUAAGACAAAUAGGAGAGCCGACAAAAAAAAGAAUCCACGACUAGAUGUACCUCGAAGAUAGCAAAUGAUACGCUGAACAGCAUCAAGAUGAAGAUGACAUGAAGUGUGCGUAAACUGGCUAACCUGCUGGACCGCAAAGGAAAUAUCAGGUGGAGUAAUGGUCAAAUAAUUCAAACUGCCCACCAAUUGACGAAACACAGUAGGAUUAGAUAAAAGAUCACCUUCCUCACUAUGAUACUUUGUAUUUACUUCUAGAGGAAUACCCAAGGUAGAUGAAUCCUGAAGACCUGCCAACUUAAUCAAAUCUUGUGUGUAUUUAUGUUGAUUCAAGAAAAUACCAGAGGAAUCAUUGUGAACUUCUAACCCUAAGAAGUAUGUAAGAGAUUCAAGAUCCUUCAUAUGAAACGUGGUCUGAAAUGCUGCUGUAGACGGGUAAUUAAAGCAGAAUUCGUCCCAGUAAUAACAAUAUCAUCAACAUAGACAAGAAAAAGAACAAUACUAGUGGAACUUUUGCAAAGGAACAAGGAAGAGUCAUACUGGUUCUGUUGAAAUGAAAAGUGAAGCAAUGAAGAUCGAAAUUUGUCAAACCAUGCUCGUGGGGCUUGUUUCAAUCCGUAUAAUGAGCGCUUCAACUUACACACGUUUGAGGAAGAGGUGGUGGCCAGACUAGGAGGCAGUGUCAUGUAAACCUCAUCUUUGAGAUCUCUAUGGAGAAAGGCAUUUUUGAUAUUCAUUUGAUGAAGCGGCCAACCUUAAGAAGCAGCAAUAGUAAUAAUCGUCCGCACUAUGGUUAUCUUAGCUACCGGAGCAAAAGUCUCCUCAUAAUCCACACCAUACUUCUGUUUGUUACCUAGAGCAACCAACCGUGCCUUAUAUCGAUCCAGAGUCCCAUCAGAGCGUAGUUUGAUUGAAUAAACCCUCUUACAACCAAUGACUUUUAACGUUCUCCGGACAAGGUACAACAUCCCAAAGUGUCAUUGUCCUUGAGUGCUCAAAGUUCAUCUGCCAUCGCCUCCCGCCAACAUUCAUGUUUUAUUGCCUCAAAGUACCAUGUACGUAUGGGAAUGGAUGACAAAGUAGUAUGAAGAGAUGUAUAAGAAAAUCCAUACCUAUUAGGAGGACGAUAAAUUCUGGUAGACCGGCGAAGAUUAGUGUCUGAAUCUAGCUCAUUCGUGGAGGGCAAUGUUAGAGCAGCCUCAGAUGGCGGGUCAGGCUCACAGGGGGGCAAAGUUGAGCGUCGUCGUUCAUUUACGAAUCCAAGCUUGAAUCGUUCAAGAGUAGAAGACAACUCAUCAAAGUGUAAAAGUGCAUAUAUCUUCGGUAAAGGCUCACCAUGAGUGGGAAGGAAGUAUUGAUUUUCAAAGAAGACCAUAUGACGAGAGAUACGAAAUUUAUUAGAGUAUGGAUCAUAGUGAACAUAGCCUUUAUGAGAAACACUAUAGCCCAUAAAUGCACAUUUAAUAGAUUGAGCAGAAAAUUUGUUUCAAUCAUGAGGAGGUAAAUGAACAAAGCAAACACAAUCAAAUGUAUGCAUGCCAAGGUAGUUAGGAUGCUGAUGAUGCAGGCGAUAAUAAGGAUUUUCAAACUUUUCGGGACACUGGAAGGCAAUCGAUUAAUUAAAUAGACUACCGUAGACGAAAGAAUUCUACUUGUUCCUUUGUAAAUUCUUGAGAAGUCAUUCCAUCAUAAAUGAGAAAUUGUGGGCCAGAACGAGAUUGAUGUUGACCAUAGGUAGAUGACUGGGCUGAUCGAUUUUUGUUAGCUUGCUUGCCAUUUUUUAGCCCUGGCUUCCCAUUCAAUUUCCAGCAAGUGUCACAGUUAUGCCAUGGUCUGUUACAAAAAUCCACCACCUUUUAUCAUCUUUUCAUGCAGCUUUCAUAGCAAAAUCAGUCACUUUAGAGACCAGAGUUGAGUUUUCAAUAGAAGGUGAUGUUUUCCCCAUCAUAACAACUCUUCGACUUUCUUCCUUGCGAAUUUAUCCAAACACUUUGUGAAAGGAAGGUAAUGGUUCACGCCCUAAAUUUCUCCCACGGGCUUCAUCUAGUUCUGAAUUCAGCCCAGCACGAAAUUCGAAUAUUCUCUCUUUUUUAAGCAUUUUACUAUACAAAGAACUAUCAUGAGGACACUUCAAUUCAGCCUCGCAAUAUUGGUCUAAUUCUUGCCAAAAAUCAAAAUACUGUAAUACUUAGUAAAAGUAUGAAUACGCUGUUUCAAAUCACAAAUUUUUUACUUCAUCUCAUAGAGUUGAGCAGAAUUUCCAAGGUCAGAGAAAGUCUCUGCAACAGCAUCCCAGAUUUCUUUUGCUGUAGAGAGAAACAUGUAUGUCCGACCUAUCUCCACCUCCAUCGAGUUCACAAGCCAAGCCAUGAUCAUUGCAUUCUCAGCCUCCCAUUGUUGAAAACUUGCAUUGUCUUCCUCAGGUAUUUUUGUGGAGCUGCUAAUAUAGCCAAAUUUACCUUUCCCUGUAUAAACAUCUUAACUGAUUGUGACCAUUGAAGAUAAUUUUGGCAAUUCAGCUUAUGGGAUGUAAUUUGGAGGGAAAGAUUGUCGUGAACUGACUGGUGGACAGGCUUUUGAAAUGUUUCAGUAGUAUGUCUAGAUGAACCCAUCUUGAGAUCCCUCUGACAUGGUGUAAACUGGAACCUUUCAAAAACAAUGAAACUGUAAUAAUCCUUAAAUCAGAGAACUCUGAUACAAAGUAGAAAAACAAGAUAACAGGAGAAUGAUUCUCUAUAUUUUUCAAUUAAUUUCAAAAAUAUACAGACUCUUUAAAUAAGUAAAUACAGAAACUAGAGACUUUAAAUAUUAGGCUACAGUCACAACCACCCAGUUAUAGUAGAUAAGUUACAACUUAUCUAGGAUUCCUAUGAGGAUUAAAUCAUUUGAAACCAACUUAAGAUAAUGUGGAAUUGGAAACAACUCUAGAAAAUAGCUAAUACUAUUAACUUCCAAUACACGUUGUAAUGACAUUAGUAAGAUUCUGGCCUUAGACUUUGACUUCUAUUUGAUAACAUUUGGGCUUCUUUUACCCUUCAUCGAGGUUCUUCCUGAGGUUACCUCUUGAAGUCUAAAAGCUUGCAUCACCAAGCCUAAAAGUUGUCUUGUUCUCUUUAUGUGAUUUUUUGUUGCUUGGUUUAUGUGUUAAAAUCAAUGUUAUUCAGUUCAUCGAGGAAAAUUGAAUAUCCCUAUCUAAAAUCUGGAUUGCCCACGAUUAGAUGGGUAGCAUUACAUGUUAGAUUCCUCGAUAGAAGUUAAACGAGUCGCAGUUUUCAACAAUUUCCAUGAGUUUUUUGGUUCAAUAUCUUCUAAUCUUGCAGUGGUUUUCUGCUACACUAUGAUGAGGCAAUGCUCCACACUUCCUUUGCAAGGCUUCUUGUCACCCUAACAAGUUACUGUGGUAUAGCUCAGAGUACUGUGUGAUCUGUGUCAGGAGAUAUCUUGCCACACACUCACAUGUAUAGUAGCUUGCCUUGUAUUUCUCAUUUACGCCUAUACCCAAAUGGCCAAUUGACAUAACUCAUGCCAUAGAUGAUUUGAUUGUUGUAGAUGCACACACUUGGUUGUUGCAAUUUUCUGCAUUUCCUUGAUUGCCAAGUUUGUAGCCUGGCACACCAAAUGACCGAAGUUGAUGUGGAUGAUUCCCUUUGAUAACAUAAAACUUCAAUUUGCUUUUUCUGUUUCAAUUUAUUAAUCCAUCGUUGCUAAUUGUUUUCCAUUUUGUUUUUGUAUAGGAGCGAAAUAAUAGUUCAGCACUCCAAAUUUUUCAUGAGCUUGUAAGAGAACUGAAUAACGAAAUUUGUGGACAUUAGGUAGUUAUCUAUUUGGGGUUUCUACGAUGCAUUUCAUUCUAUUUGGACUAGAGUUUCAAACCAAGACGUCUCUUCAAUUUUUUCUGAUAAACAUUUUCUUUAUGAUAAUAUUGUUGCUGAUUUCCCUGGUUUCAAGUUCAAUUUUAGAUUUUUAUCUCAUUCACAUCGAGUGAAUGUGUUUAAGAUGUGUAGCUUUUUCAUCUUUCAUGUUGCUUAGGCUUCAGUCUUGGAGCUCUGGUGCGCGGAGGAGUACGAUUUGCUGGCGCUUGCACUGAAUGGAAGAAUGAAGAUUACCAAGUUCCAAGUUUGCUGUUCAAAAGCUUAAAGAUCCGACUUUUACUGAAUCCUUGGGAAGAUAUUGGGUUCUCUUACUUGGAUGACCAAGUGGGAUUCCCUCUUCUUCCUUGAGUUUUAUGUUCAGGUUUCCAUUAGGAACAAUAUGAAUCUCAUAGCCAAACCAAAAAGUUAUUACAUACUGUGAUGUUCAUUUAGUAUAUAGUUUUAUUUUAUUUAAAUGCUUCAGUUUUAGAGGUACUGGGACAGUUGGACUAGCUUUUGAAAGUAUUCGUGACACAUAAAAUAGACAAUAAAUAAAUAUUUAAUAUUAUCCGUACAUUUUCCCAUUU